rnacentral:rRNA from 1 species
GACGAACGCUGGCGGCGUGCCUAACACAUGCAAGUCGAGCGAAUGAAGUUCCUUCGGGAAUGGAUUUAGCGGCGGACGGGUGAGUAACACGUGGGCAACCUGCCUCAUAGAGGGGAAUAGCCUCCCGAAAGGGAGAUUAAUACCGCAUAAGAUUGUAGUACCGCAUGAUACAGCAAUUAAAGGAGCAAUCCGCUAUGAGAUGGGCCCGCGGCGCAUUAGCUAGUUGGUGAGGUAAUGGCUCACCAAGGCGACGAUGCGUAGCCGACCUGAGAGGGUGAUCGGCCACAUUGGGACUGAGACACGGCCCAGACUCCUACGGGAGGCAGCAGUGGGGAAUAUUGCACAAUGGGGGAAACCCUGAUGCAGCAACGCCGCGUGAGUGAUGACGGCCUUCGGGUUGUAAAGCUCUGUCUUCAGGGACGAUAAUGACGGUACCCGAGGAGGAAGCCACGGCUAACUACGUG